UAGAUCUCUUCUCUCAUAGAUCUGCGC
rnacentral:piRNA from 1 species